rnacentral:rRNA from 1 species
AUGGUCAUCACUUCCGCCUCCGCGGCGGCCAGCGCCGUGCCGCCGCCUCCCGCGAAAACAAAAUCCGGGACCCUAGCUACAGCACCAUCUCUCACGGCCACAAGAAGGCACCUCCUCCUGGCUUCCACCGCAUCCGCACUCCCCACGGCCGCCGCCUCCGCCGCAGCCUCUCGAUUCACCGAGAUCCCUAGCUCCGGCGGCGUGAAGGCCCUAGAGCUCCGGGAGGGUUCAGGCGAGGUCCCAGUCGACGGAGACCAGGUUGCAAUUCACUACUAUGGGAGGCUGGCUGCGAAGCAAGGAUGGCGCUUUGACUCAACCUAUGAUCACAAGGACGCGACCGGUGAUCCGAUACCUUUUGUCUUUACCAUCGGGUCUAGAAAGGUUAUACCUGGUAUUGAAGCGGCAGUGAAGUCCAUGAGAGUUGGUGGUCUUCGCCGUGUGGUCAUUCCGCCAUCACAGGGAUAUCAAAACACAUCACAGGAACCAAUUCCUCCUAAUUUCUUUGAUCGACAGAGAUUAUUUACUACUAUAUUCAACCCGACACGCCUCGCAAAUGGCGAGGGUUCCACUCUUGGUACUGUCAUCUUCGACAUCGAGCUGAUCAGCAUAAGGCAGCAUACAUGA